AAUGCAUUUAAUGUAUGAGCCACAUAGACGAGCGUCCGUAAUGAAGCAAAUGAAGAAAUACGGCUGGGCUGUGGGACUGGAUGUAGACAGAGGAGAAGCGGUCUUCUACGGCAAACUAGUCGAGUCGUGGCCCAGGACGUCGGGCCUCUUCCUGAUCCGUGGGUCAGGUAAUUGCCGUCGUCUUCUUCUACCUCACGUUGUUGCGUUUUUUUAGUAGAGAGAGGGCCGAGCUUUGGGAGAGGCAAUUUAACUUAGCGAAGAUCUGCCGGUGGAAAUGGAGUUUUUGAUGCAGGCAAUUAAAAGAUUAACGACGUUGGAUGAGGUUAACGGUAGUGAUGUCCCGAUGUACCCCCUCCAUUAGAUUAGGGCGGGAAUGGAUCAGAAUCAGCCCCCUGCGGAGAUUCGAUGGGAGGAUUCAUGUGGCGGUCGACCAAAGGCAUCUGAGAAGGGGGGGUCGCCAGAAGCUUUCACAUAGUCCAUAGGCAAGAAGGAUCCUAGAGCUCCAGGAUGGACCUGCUGGUAUGUUCGGAGAGAAAAUAACACAUCCAUAAUUUUGUUCUGAAGUUCUGCAAACACUGAUUCCAUGGAUAUGCGAAUUCUUGUGAUUAGAAGAGUAGAUGGCAUGUGGGGUAUAAGUAGUGUGUGAACACUUUCAUUUGUAAUGUUCUGGUAUUGUAUUGUUGGUUCAGUAAUUUACAUAGUUGCAGGCACUGGAAACCCUGAAUGUCAUAGGAAAUUACCUGCGUGCUAAUCAACAUUCAGGGUUGAUAUUCAUUUCAAAAAGUGAUGAGGCACUGAAUUCAUUUUGUUGAGUGUGCUGAAGGGCUGCAUUCUUCGUCUGGAUUAGGGUUAAAAAUUUGUGUGGGAGUCAUAGGCAUGGAUGAUCUUUUGUAUUCAUGAAAACAUGAAAUGUUUGAAUAGAAAUUAGGAGACAGUCAUUGGGUGAAGGGGACAAAGAUAUAUCUUUUUUCUAUGUAAAUGUGUCAUGUUAGUGAUAUUUAGGAGACAGUAAAUGGAGAGGGGAAAGGAUAUAAUUUCCUACUGCAUAAAUAGACCUCGGGUCAUAUAAUUUUCAGGAAUGUGUCAUGUUACUAAAGAGCUGUUGUGUACCAACAAUGUUGUUAGCACAGUGUCAUCUCUAAGGGAGGUAAAUUAGCUAGCAGGACCAAAACUCUGCAAGCAAGAAAGAUAAUGAGGGAAAUCAGACUUCUCUGGUGACUAGAACGAGAACGCUGGGUCGGCGAGUGGUGGAAUGCCACAAGCUAAGCCGUGGAUCGGAAGAUGAAAAUCUAUUUGGUAUGUGGCUCAGGAAAUCCGCUUUUCCAUCGAAUGGCCGCAGGCAUGAAUUGGAUGCAGAGCUCUGGCUCUUCUCCUCCAAAGGCCCCAAUGCGGACGACAUUUGGAAGUAGAGGAGUGAGAAAGAGGGAUAGGAAGCAGAGGUAGCUGACAGCCAUGAAGUUCCUAAUGCAACUAAUCAAUUAGGAGGUAUGUCGAUCAUAAGUAUAUCAUGAUCUUUUUCCUUUUUGCACGCACAAAAGGGGCAACUCGCUGCAGGAAACUACUUAUUGUCAAUUAUGUUGUAAAUUUUGAUUAGCAGCUUAAUAGGGCAGUGGGUAGGAACUUUGCAUUUAAGAAAUGAUCACUAGUAGUGAUCUAAAAAGAUCUAUUAGUAGUGAUCUAAAAAGAUCUUAUAGAUCACUACUAGUGAUCUAUAAGAUCUUAUAUUUAUAGAGGGAGUACUGAUGUACCACAAAUGUGGGUCUGGAGAUUUGCCAGAUGUUUUAAGUUUAACAGAACAUAACGAGGUACUAGUCAAUACAUUUUUUUCUGGUUUAGCAGCUAAAUAGGCUGGUGAGUAGAUGUGUGGGCUCACAAGGUACUGGUUCCUUGAGAGAAUAUUUGCAGAGGCAUUUUAAAAAAUUGGAUUCUUAGGAGUACAUUGUUUGUAAACAUGAUUUGCAGAACCUGCAGUUUUUUCUGUCUGUUUGAAAUGAACUCGUCAUUCAGUCUGUCUUAGCCAUCUCCAUCACCUUAUCAUUUUUGUUAUGAAAUGAAUCAUAAGUAGCAUGCCUUUUCUCUUCUUCCCAUAUUGUUUUCUGUCACAUUAAGCAUGAAAUUUUAUGUUUAUUUGAAGCAGAGGGCCUGAUGCAAAACUGCAUCAUAUUUUUAUAGAUUUUGGCUGCGACGAGCCCCUUUAUCUGCUUUGCUUACAAAGUUAAUAUUUAAAUCUUUUGAUUUUUAGCAGAUGUUUUGGUUGAAUCGAACGGCCCAUAGGUCACAUCGUCACAUAUUGUUCUAGCUUAUUUGAAGCUUUAGAUUUUUUUUCAUAUAUGGAUCUUGGACUUCAAACCGAAUCUGGAUUUGGUGACUUUAUAACCAUUGCAACCCUAUUUCUGGUUUAUCCCUUUUAAGCUGGGUAUGGAUGUGUUCAUGGCUUCAUGCGUUUGUGGAUGAAGCGAAACUUUUGUAGGCGAUGGUAUUUAUAGGCCCACCCAUUGUUUUUCUGCAAUUUGUUGUAUUCUUGCUCUUCCACCUAUUUACUAAUUUGUUUACAGAUGUUUCAGAAAUCUAAACCUGAAAUUAUAUUCAUUAAUUCAUGGAGUCAGGAAACAAGAACUGGAUCCAUGUGUGAGAUGACACAUUCAAUAAACCUUCGGAGCUUGGCACUAGUAUGUUUGGCAGCCGCCAUCAAACUCUUUUGCAAUCUCAGAGCCCGCCUCUAACAGCUGCCAUCAGCGUAAUUUGUGUGAGCGACGACGCACUUAUAUAUGUGCAUCAUAAGAAAUUUGAUGAACUUGAAUAUGCUAGGCACUACUAGAAGUUUGGAAACCCUAAACUCAAAUUCUAGAAUUCUUGUACCUUUCCUGUGGUCCAGCCAAAGGUUGUUUGUCUCAAUUCCUUAGAUUUUGUUUUCCAAUACGAUUGGAGAUGUCUUGACAUCACAAUCAUGUGUUUUUACUUAUUUUCAUGUGUUUCAAAACAAUGUGAUCCUAAGUGACCUAUGUAACGUCUGCAUAUACCCACUUUGAAAAGAAAAAAAAUGCAUGAAAAGCAAAUAACCUUUGGUCAAUGAA